rnacentral:rRNA from 1 species
UCGUUUAGAUUGAAGGAGCUUGCUCCUGAUUGAUAAACAUUGAGUGAGUGGCGGACGGGUGAGUAACACGUGGGUAACCUACCUAAGUGGGGAUAACAUUUGGAAACAGAUGCUAAUACCGCAUAAAACCUAACACCGCAUGGUGUAGGGUUGAAAGAUGGUUUCGGCUAUCACUUUAGGAUGGACCCGCGGUGCAUUAGUUAGUUGGUGAGGUAAAGGCUCACCAAGACCGUGAUGCAUAGCCGACCUGAGAGGGUAAUCGGCCACACUGGGACUGAGACACGGCCCAGACUCCUACGGGAGGCAGCAGUAGGGAAUCUUCCACAAUGGACGAAAGUCUGAUGGAGCAACGCCGCGUGAGUGAAGAAGGUUUUCGGAUCGUAAAACUCUGUUGUUGGAGAAGAAUGUAUCUGAUAGUAACUGAUCAGGUAGUGACGGUAUCCAACCAGAAAGCCACGGCUAACUACGUG